rnacentral:rRNA from 1 species
UACAGAGGUCUCAAGCGUUGUUCGGAUUCAUUGGGCGUAAAGGGUGCGUAGGUGGCGCCGUAAGUCGGGUGUGAAAUUUCGGAGCUUAACUCCGAAACUGCAUUCGAUACUGCGGUGCUUGAGGACUGGAGAGGAGACUGGAAUUCAUGGUGUAGCAGUGAAAUGCGUAGAGAUCAUGAGGAAGACCAGUGGCGAAGGCGGGUCUG